UACGAAGGGGGCUAGCGUUGCUCGGAAUCACUGGGCGUAAAGCGCACGUAGGCGGCUUUUUAAGUCAGGGGUGAAAUCCUGGAGCUCAACUCCAGAACUGCCUUUGAUACUGGGAAGCUCGAGUCCGGGAGAGGUGAGUGGAACUCCGAGUGUAGAGGUGAAAUUCGUAGAUAUUCGGAAGAACACCAGUGGCGAAGGCGGCUCGCUGGGACGUGACUGACGCUGAGACGCGAAAGCGUGGGGAGCAAACAGGG
rnacentral:rRNA from 1 species